UACGGAGGGUGCGAGCGUUGUCCGGAAUCACUGGGCGUAAAGGCGCGUAGGCGGCCUGAUAAGUAGGGGGUGAAAUCCUGCGGCUUAACCGCAGGGCUGCCUUCUAAACUGUCAGGCUAGAGCACAGUAGAGGCAGGUGGAAUUCCCGGUGUAGCGGUGGAAUGCGUAGAGAUCGGGAAGAACAUCAGUGCGAAGGCGGCCUGCUGGGCUGUUGCUGACGCUGAGGCGCGACAGCGUGGGGAGCAAACAGG
rnacentral:rRNA from 1 species